UGAUCCUGCCGGAGGUCACUGCUAUUGGGAUCCGAUUAAGCCAUGCGAGCCGUGGGUGGUUCGUCCACCCGGCAGAAUGCUCAGUAACACGUGGCAAACCUUCCCUAUGGAUCGGGAUAACCCCGGGAAACUGGGGAUAAUCCCGAAUAGGAGAGGACAGCUGGAAUGCACCUCUCUGAAAUGUUCAGGCUCCAUAGGAUGGUGCUGCGGCCGAUUAGGUUGAUGGUGGAGUAAGAGCCCACCAUGCCGAUAAUCGGUACGGGCCCUGAGAGGGGGAGCCCGGAGACGGACUCUGAGACACGAGUCCGGGCCCUACGGGGCGCAGCAGGCGCGAAACCUUCGCAAUGCGUGAAAGCGUGACGAGGGGAUCCCAAGUGCCCUCGCACUGCGGGGGCUUUUCUGGAGUCUAGCGUGCUCUAGGUAAUAAGGGCUGGGAAAGACCGGUGCCAGCCGCCGCGGUAACACCGGCAGCCCGAGUGGUGACCACUUUUAUUGGGCUUAAAGCGUCCGUAGCCGGGCUCACAAGCCCCUGGUUAAAUUCUACGGCUUAACCGUAGAUUUGCUGGGGGAACUGUAAGCCUUGGGGCCGGAAGAGGCCGAGGGUACUCCCGGGGUAGUGGUAAAAUGCUAUAAUCCUGGGGGGACCACCAAUAGCGAAAGCACUCGGCUUGGACGGGCCCGACGGUGAGGGACGAAGGCCAGGGGAGCGAACCGGAUUAGAUACCCGGGUAGUCCUGGCUGUAAACAAUGUGGACUAAGUGUCUCCGAGACCACGAGUCUCAGAGGCGCUGAAGUGAAAUCAUUAAGUCCACCGCCUGGGAAGUACGGCCGCAAGACUGAAACUUAAAGGAAUUGGCGGGGGAGCACCACAAGGGGUGGCGCGUGCGGUUUAAUUGGAUUCAACGCCGGGAACAUUACUGGCGGAGACGGCAGAAUGACGGUCAGCUUUAAGAGCUUGCUAGACGUGCCGGAAGGAGGUGCAUGGCCGCCGUCAGCUCGUACCGUGAGGCGUCCUGUUAAGUCAGGCAACGAGCGAGACCCCUGCCCUUAGUUGCCAGCAGCUCCCGUUUGGGAGGCUGGGGACUCUAGGGGGACCGCCGGCGAUAAGCCGGAGGAAGGAAGGGGCGACGGUAGGUCAGCAUGCCCUGAAUCCGUCAGGCUACACGCGCGCGACAAUGGUUGAGACAAAGGGUUGCUACUCCGAAAGGAGAUGCUAAUCCCUAAACUCAAUCCUAGUUCGGAUUGAGGGCUGGAACUCGCCCUCAUGAAGUUGAAAUCCCUAGUAAUCGCACGUCAUCAUCGUGCGGUGAAUACGUCCCUGCUCCUUGCACACACCGCCCGUCACUCCACCCGAGUGUAACCCGGAUGAGGCUCCGUCUUUGGCGAAGUCGAAUCUGGGUUACGCGAGGAGGGAGAAGUCGUAA
rnacentral:rRNA from 1 species